rnacentral:rRNA from 1 species
UACGUAGGGGGCAAGCGUUGUCCGGAAUUACUGGGCGUAAAGGGCUCGUAGGUGGCCAACUAAGUCAGACGUGAAAUCCCUCAGCUUAACUGGGGAACUGCGUCUGAUACUGGAUGGCUUGAGUUUGGGAGAGGGAUGCGGAAUUCCAGGUGUAGCGGUGAAAUGACGUAGAUAUCUGGAGGAACACCGGUGGCGAAGGCGGCAUCCUGGACCAACACUGACACUGAGGAGCGAAAGCCAGGGGAGCAAACGGG